rnacentral:rRNA from 1 species
UCCGUAGGUGGUCAUGCAAGUCUGCUGUCAAAGCCCACAGCUUAACUGUGGAUCGGCGGUGGAAACUGUGUGACUUGAGUACGGUAGGGGUAGAGGGAAUUCCCAGUGUAGCGGUGAAAUGCGUAGAUAUUGGGAAGAACACCGGUGGCGAAAGCGCUCUACUGGACCGUAACUGACACUGAGGGACGAAAGCCAAGGUAGCGAAAG